CGUGCUUGUGGGACGAUCUCAUUUUACGCAUGCGUAAUGCACCAGGGAUACCGAUUUCUUUGAGGGGGGGUUACUGAAUUGGUAACACCUGUUCACAGAGCACGCAGGAAGGACGCUGCAAGUCCACUGAACCUGUGCACACGCUCUGUGAACUCCGUUACCCGUCUACCUGGGCUCAGACCCCAAACAACAAUGACCCACACAGUGUUUAUGAAAAAUCGGCACAGACUAAAUCCUGGAAAUUCCUCACAGCUCAUAAAAAUGUUCCAGUCUGGCCCGAUGCAUUACUUUACUUCUCUGCACAGCAGCGUCGAUUACAACAUUCUUACAAGAUAGAAUGUACCCACAUUAAGAAUAUUUAAUCUAGCCCAGGUUAUUCAAUAAACGAACCAAUUAAUUAACCAAAUUAUUUCAAAAGGGAAAACUAAUAGUAUUUUAACAGUGUCUAUUUAUGUUCUUUUAAAAUGAAAGAUGACUCUGUGUACCAUGUUUAUGAAGAUGAAAAUCUUUGAGCAUCUAUAAACUUAACCUUGUGCAAUACAAUGUAAUUAAGAUGCAACUAGUACUUCUGAAUAAAAGAAUACUGUACUUUA